rnacentral:rRNA from 1 species
UACAGAGGGGGCAAGCGUUAUUCGGAAUUAUUGGGCGUAAAGGGCGCGUAGGCGGCUUGGCAAGUGGAUGGUGAAAUCCCUCGGCUUAACCGAGGAACUGCCAUCCAGACUGCUUUGCUUGAGGCCGGGAGAGGUGAGUGGAAUUCCCAGUGUAGCGGUGAAAUGCGUAGAUAUCUGGAGGAACACCGGUGGCGAAGGCGGCAUCCUGGACCAAUUCUGACGCUGAGGAGCGAAAGCCAGGGGAGCAAACGGG